rnacentral:tRNA from 1 species
GGAAUGUGGCUCAGAGGUAGAAAGCUGGCCUAGUGUGCAGGAGGCCCUGGGCUCAAGCCCCAGCACCA